rnacentral:rRNA from 1 species
UGCAGUCGAACGCGAAAGCCCCGCAAGGGGUAAGUAGAGUGGCAAACGGGUGAGUAACACGUGGGUGACCUGCCUUCGAGUGGGGGAUAACGUCCCGAAAGGGACGCUAAUACCGCAUGACAUCCUGCGUUUGGAAACGCGGAGAUCAAAGCCUGGGAUCGCAAGACCUGGCGCUUGAAGAGGGGCCCGCGCCUGAUUAGCUAGUUGGUAGGGUAACGGCCUACCAAGGCAACGAUCAGUAUCCGGCCUGAGAGGGCGGACGGACACACUGGGACUGAGACACGGCCCAGACUCCUACGGGAGGCAGCAGUGGGGAAUUGUUCGCAAUGGGCGCAAGCCUGACGACGCAACGCCGCGUGGAGGACGAAGAUCUUCGGGUCGUAAACUCCUGUCGAGCGGGAAGAACGCUUCCCGGAUGAAUAAUCCGGGGAAUUGACGGUACCGCUAAAGGAAGCCCCGGCUAACUCCGUGCCAGCAGCCGCGGUAAUACGGGGGGGGCAAGCGUUGUUCGGAAUUACUGGGCGUAAAGGGCUCGUAGGCGGCCAACUAAGUCGGAUGUGAAAUCCCCAGGCUCAACUUGGGAACUGCAUCCGAUACUGGAUGGCUUGAAUCCGGGAGAGGGAUGCAGAAUUCCAGGUGUAGCGGUGAAAUGCGUAGAUAUCUGGAGGAAUACCGGUGGCGAA